UACGUAGGGGGGCAAGCGUUGUCCGGAUUUAUUGGGCGUAAAGAGCGUGUAGGCGGCCAUGUAGGUCCGUUGUGAAAACUCGAGGCUCAACCUCGAGACGCCGAUGGAAACCAUGUGGCUAGAGUCCGGGAAGAGGAGAGUGGAAUUCCUGGUGUAGCGGUGAAAUGCGCAGAUAUCAGGAAGAACACCCGUGGCUAAGGCGGCUCUCUAGUACGGUACUGACGCUGAGACGCGAAAGCGUGGG
rnacentral:rRNA from 1 species